UGGGUUUUGAAUUUGCAGUAACAGGUGUGAGCAUUCUAGCAGCAGUUUGAUGAUCAUGUAUGAUACUGCAAACAGGAC
rnacentral:miRNA from 1 species